AGCUUUGCCGCAGUGGCAGUAUCGUAGCCUAUGAGGUUUAUCCGAGGCACGAUUAUUGCUAAUUGAAAAAUGAGCUGAUAUAAAAUUGUACAAUUAUCUGAAGGUUUCUUGUUCUCAUUUUUUCCAUAGGGUGUGUGCACUCUCUAGAAA
rnacentral:snRNA from 1 species